ACCUCCAGGUGUUUAUAAGCAAGCUGAAUUCCAAUGAGUCUCGGGGCAACUUGGCUUCCAACGAGAUGGCUGGAAGAUGGCUCCGUCUCUGGGCACAGAUGUCCCAGAAACAAAAGCUCAGGACCAGGGGCUGGAGCGAUGCCCUCCUCCUGCCCCUCCAUCUAAGACAGGCUUCCGAGAGGAGGGAUUCGCCCUCUGCAGGCACUGGGCUGCUUACGUAAGCCGGGUCAGCUUCGUACCCAAAAGGCGGCGAGGCUGGUGCCCUUCUGGAUUUGUGCCCGUGUCCUGCCACUCCGCGUGCUGUGUCUGUUUCCAUAGGGAGGAGGAGCUGAUGGGUUUCAACCUUGCCUCCUCCCUGCUGUUUCCUCAGUGGCUGUCCAAGUAGGGUUCCCUGACAGGAGCCACAACCGCAGCCUCACCUGGGGAUUUGUGGAAAAUGCAAAAUUUAGGGGUCCUACUCCAGACUUACUGAAUCAGAGCUAGAGGCAGGUUCUAAGGAACCCCUGCAGGUGAGGCUGAUGCGGCUAUGGGGUGAGAACUGCUGUGUAAGGACAGAUGGUGCCCAGGCCGUGGAAGUGGCAGCUUGUGAUUUUAAUACCAAAGAAAUCCCAGAGCUCAGAGAGAGGCAGAGGUGAGUCCCUUUGUGUUUCACGCCUGGCAUUUGAGUUGUGCUGAAGGAGGAGAAGCCAAUCCAUCACUGGGGAUUGAAGUUAGCUUCUGUGGUGACAUUCACGGAGUCUUGUCUGUCUGGAUUUUAACAGACUAAUGGCCAGGAAGAAAUCACUGUGUACUGAGCAGAAGCUAGUUUACGUCCUGAGAAGUAGAAAGAUACAGAAAGGUGUUGGCUUAAGAGUAAGCAACACCCCCACCUUCUUCAACCCGCUAAACUUCUCAGUCUCGUUCCUCAGACAACUUUGUGCUGGUGUAUCACAGGGGAAUACUCUCGGACAUAGAAUCACUGGGUUGAAGAAUUAAACUUUGAUUCAACAUUCAUCAAAGUUAUGAGAGCAACAAAUGCACAAUAUUACCCAUGAUUAAAAGAGAACAGUAAAAGCGUUCAUCACGUGGCUGGCUGAGGCUUGAGCUUGAUGGAGAAGUGAGGUUUCUAAAGAGCUCUGCCCCACGGACAUCUCAUCUCGAGCUGCCCUGACUGCUCCUCCCUGAGCUGGGAGGUGCCAUCAGCUGUCAGACCUGGCCUCAGGGCAACAGGCAACGAAGGCACAGAGCCUGGCCGCAGCCUGAGCAGUGGCAGCUCUCCAGGAGCCUGAGGUCUGAAUCUGCCUGGUACAGCAUCCUGGAGGGCACGUGCAGACACAGAAGUACUGUGUGCCCUGUGAAACAGUGGGCCAGGCGAAUAAUAUUGCACUGUAUGGAUAGACCACACUGCGUUCACCCAUCCACCUGCUGACAGCCGUCGGGCUGUUUCGACCUUUGUGCUGCUCUCUUCCCCAAGCUUCCAGAUGGGACCUGAGUUUCGGGGAUGUGGUUCGCCCAAGGAUGGACACCAGAGGGUGGCUGAGCCUGGCAGAGCUUGACUGUUCCUCUGGUGGUUCAAAUCGCAGUGGAGGAGAUGUCAGCCCCCUGAAAGGAUGCACAUCUCAGCAGUCAGGGAUCUUGAGGUCCAGGAGGUGCUGCUGAGGGAAGGAAGGUUCUGCAUUCAGACCCUCAGAACGCAAAUGAACCCGCCUAACCACUUGGCAGAAGUUGGCUGGUUCCAAGGUCCAUCAUUAUCUCAUCUUCCUCUCAGCAACUUGACCAGGACUGUAGGACAGAUCUCUACGUAUGUGUAGAGGCUCACAUAUGUGACUUCAUUGGCUGACAGGCACAAAGCAAGGUGUCUAUACCACAAAGCAAGGUGUCUCUACCCAACUUCUGUGCUCCUUUAUGGCAUAAAUGGCAUGAUCAAACGGUUAUCCACCAUAGUAUCUGCAAUGCAGCUCUGACACUAACCACCUGGAGUUGGUGCAGAUGACGGGUUGGGGGCUCCGUCCCCCACAGGAAGACCCUCACUUUAGAUAUCUGCUGCAAGUUCUGGCCCCCCCUGGAUACAUGCACCUCUGACCAACUGGCUGCAAAUUCAGGGGUUUCCCUGACCUCCUGGCAUUCAGUAAUUCACAGUGAUGAACGACACAACUCAGGAAAGUGCUGUACUUAGGAUUGCGGUGUCAUUACCAAGGAUACAAUCAGAACCAGCUACUGGGAGAGGCACGGAGGGGGAGGUCUGGGAAAGUCCCAGAUUCAGAACUUCCAUGUCCCCAGACCGUGCAAAGCCUCCCAGGUGACUGAUGUGUGAUUACAAACCGGGGACAGUCAUGCAAGCUUCCAAUGCUCAGAGGUUUUACUGGGGUUUCAUGAUGUAGGCGUGACUGAUAGGACUUGAUCUCCGGUCCCUUUCCCCUCCAGGAGGUGACGGAGCAGGGCCUCAGCCUGCUGUUCACAUGGUCAGUCUUUCUGGCAUGGGCUGUCCUGACCCUGAGUCCCCUCGUUAGCAAAGACUUUGAGGGCUCGCUGUGAAUAACGAAGACUUGCCAAGGAUUUGGAGGCGACUUCCCAGGAACAAAGGCUGGUCCAAUUCUGUAUUAUACAACAAUUUGCUGGUGCUAUCCAAUGACGUGCUCUCACCAGCCCUUGCCAUGGGAUGCCGACUCCAUGCCUCUUACAAAGGAUUCUCCCUGACCCAGCUGAUGGAAGCUGCGUCCUAAGUGCUUUGCAGAGACGACAGCAGAAACCGUCCAGAAAGGCCCCUUCAAUGGCCAAGUGAGUGCUUUGUUCUGAAGGAAGUUAGAGCCCAAGUUCAUACGACUAUCAUGAAAUCUUCGAAACAUUUCAUUUUUUAAGUCCUGAGAUUCCCCUGAGCCCUCCCUGUCCAAGUUGUGUGAUGCUGUCUUUCAGAAGGAAAGGAGCCAGGACAGAAAGCUCGAACCUUGUUCCCCUUAGAUGAAUGAGUCUUGUUUCGAGGGGAACUCCUCUCCACGGUGGGAUUUUCAGCUCAGCUCAGCAUCCCUCAUGCACCAGGCAAUGCGGGUUCAGUAGGGAAGCAGGCUUGAGCCCCACCGUGGAAGGCUUGCAGCCUCGGGUGCAGAGGGGUGAGGCUGGAUCUCAGAUACGGAGCAAGGAUUUCAGUUUGGGCUGGGAAGAGGUAUGCCUGGAGGGCCCUGGGAACACAGAGCAGGUGCCCCUGGCUCAGACCAGGAGGGUUAGGGUCAUCUUGGUGUCUUUAAGGGAUCAGUGGAGGUGACUAGAUGAUUGUGGGUAAGGGGACGGCAUGAAUGAGGCAGAGAGGAGCCAAACAGCAACCCCAGGCUGUUUGAAAAUGUGGAAGUUUUGAGUGGGGCUUGAGGGAGUGUAUCAGAAGAUAGCUGGCCAGGUGUGGUGAGUCACGCCUGUAAUCCCAGCACUUUGGGAGGCCAAGAUGG